UGAGGAAACGGGGGAGGGGAGGUGUAGAAAUGUAAACAAAACAAACCCGUAAAUACGGGAGGGAAGAAAGGCUCGAGGCGCCGGAGUCACACGGUUAGAAGGAAGGAAGGAAAGAAAGCACUGGAACGCGGCCGAAGGCAUCAAAGCAUUUUGUUUACGCAACCUUGCCCUGGAAUAAAUGUGACAAACACACUGGCCGGGUGACCCGUCAUUCAAGGUUCAUCGGUCCAAGAACUCGACAAACAAAAAUAAGCUUUAGAAGAGUCGUUGGGGCCGCUGAUAUCACCAGAUUACACAAUGCAGAUGCGAAGGUGAUUAGGUAUCAGAGUGUCAUAAAUCGCAUAUCAAACUGCUGAAAUCACAUAUUUUGAAAUCGCCCAUCACUAGAUAUUGUUGAAAAGUCAUUAUUUUGGGUUUUUUUGGCGCACAAAAAGUAUUCUCGUUGCUUUAUAAUAUUAAGGUAGAACCACUGUACUCACAUGAACUGUUUUAAACAUGUCUUUAGUACCUUUCUGGAUUUUGAGAAGUUCGGUGACAUUGCUGGCAUUAGAAGCCUCACUGAGCCAUCGGAUUUCAUCAAAAAUACCUUAAUUUGUGUUCGUCGAAGAUGAACGAAGGUCUUACGGGUGUGGAACGACAUGAGGCUUGUGACCCGGAAACCAAUCAAACUCAGCCAUCUUGAACGACAUCUCAAUUCUCUAAUUGCACCGCGAGGAGGCGAGGAAUGAGGAGCGAGGAAGCUUCCUGAGUGUAUCCUUCCCUCAAAUCAUAAUGGGGUGGAGCUAAGAUGCAAGGAAAGGAAGCGAGGAAAGGAAACGAGAAUUCAUGCACCUCUUGAUGGAAAUAAAUGUUGUGAUGUUAUUUCCAUCAAGAGGUGCAUCAAUUUUUGGUCAAGAUCUUGUAUUGACAAUGCAAGAGGUGAGCACUCUGUAAAGUCUCCUCCAGCACAUCCCAAAGACUUAGACUGAGGUUAAAGGUCAGGACUUACAGGUGCCAAAAUGAUUCUUCAUGCUCUCUGAACCAUUCUUUCACAAUUUUAACCCUGGUGAAUCUUGACAUUGUCAUCCUGGAAUAUGGCCAUGAUACAUCUUCUGACAUGGUUGUUUAAGAAAUGAAAAGCUACACACUCCAUCUUUAAGGGUUAAAAGAACCGUUGCCAAACAUAAAGCAUGCUAGAAACAUAAUAAUCACUGUAAUAAUGAUCCAGUCAAGAUUCUUAAGUAUUUGCCUAAUAAAAUCCAAACAGCGA